rnacentral:rRNA from 1 species
AGUGAACGCUGGCGGCAGGCCUAACACAUGCAAGUCGAACGGCAGCACAGCAGUAGCAAUACUGUGGGUGGCGAGUGGCGGACGGGUGAGGAAUACAUGGGAAUCUGCCCUGUCGUGGGGGAUAACGUAGGGAAACUUACGCUAAUACCGCAUACGACCGGAAGGUGAAAGCGGCGGACCGCAAGGCGUCGCGCGACUGGAUGAGCCCAUGUCGGAUUAGCUAGUUGGCGGGGUAAAGGCCCACCAAGGCGACGAUCCGUAGCUGGUCUGAGAGGAUGAUCAGCCACACUGGAACUGAGACACGGUCCAGACUCCUACGGGAGGCAGCAGUGGGGAAUAUUGGACAAUGGGCGCAAGCCUGAUCCAGCCAUGCCGCGUGAGUGAAGAAGGCCUUCGGGUUGUAAAGCUCUUUUGUCCGGAAAGAAAAGCUCUCGGUUAAUACCCGGGGGUUCUGACGGUACCGGAAGAAUAAGCACCGGCUAACUUCGUGC